UUGCCAAACCUGUGGAGAGGAAGGACAUAACAAAAGAAGAUGUCCACAAAGGCUACUACAAUCACAACAAGGUUUUGUGCCCACAAAAGAGGAAACUGGUGCACAUCAUCACUCGGGGGCCGCUCCAUCUCAAACUAGGCCACAAGGAACUUCUAAACUACAUGUGUACCGAGGCGGUCGUGUGAAUCAAGUCACAAGAAAGGCUAAUGAAAUGGCAUCACAAC